rnacentral:rRNA from 1 species
UACGGAGGGGGCAAGCGUUGUUCGGAAUUACUGGGCGUAAAGGGCGCGUAGGCGGCCUGUUAAGUCGAACGUGAAAUCCCCGGGCUCAACCCGGGAACUGCGUCCGAUACUGGCAGGCUUGAAUCCGGGAGAGGGAUGCGGAAUUCCAGGUGUAGCGGUGAAAUGCGUAGAUAUCUGGAGGAACACCGGUGGCGAAGGCGGCAUCCUGGACCGGCAUUGACGCUGAGGCGCGAAAGCCAGGGGAGCAAAACGGGGAUUAGACUACC